rnacentral:rRNA from 1 species
AAUACCACGCCAUCCCCCCUCUGCUUGCUAUGAUCUCAUUCGAACUCAGAAGCUAAAAGGGAUUGGGCCUCAUUAGUACUUGGGUUGAGGGUAGUC